rnacentral:rRNA from 1 species
AGUGAACGCUGGCGGUAGGCCUAACACAUGCAAGUCGAACGGCAGCACAGUAAGAGCUUGCUCUUACGGGUGGCGAGUGGCGGACGGGUGAGGAAUACAUCGGAAUCUACUUUUUCGUGGGGGAUAACGUAGGGAGACUUACGCUAAUACCGCAUACGACCUACGGGUGAAAGCAGUGGAUCUUCGGACCUUGCGCGAUUGAAUGAGCCGAUGUCGGUUUAGCUAGUUGGCGGGGUAAAGGCCCACCAAGGCGACGAUCCGUAGCUGGUCUGAGAGGAUGAUCAGCCACACUGGAACUGAGACACGGUCCAGACUCCUACGGGAGGCAGCAGUGGGGAAUAGUGGACAAUGGGCGCGAGCCUGAUCCAGCCAUACCGCGUGGGUGAAGAAGGCCUUCGGGUUGGAAAGCCCUUUUGUUGGGAAAGAAAAGCAGCAGGUUAAUACCCCGCUGUUCUGACGGUACCCAAAGAAUAAGCACCGGCUAACUUCGUG